UCCUUUCUCCGCCAUCGUGGUGUGUUCUUGCCUCCACUUCUUGCCAUGUCUUCUCACAAGACUUUCAGAAUUAAGCGAUUCCUGGCCAAGAAACAAAAGCAAAAUCGUCCCAUUCCCCAGUGGAUUCGGAUGAAAACUGGAAAUAAAAUAAGGUACAACUCCAAAAGGAGACGUUGGAGAAGAACCAAGCUGGGUCUAUAAGGAAUUGCACGAGAUGGCAUAUAUAUUUGUGCUGUCUGAAGGUCACGAUCACAUUACCAUAUCAAACUGAAAAUGUCACCACUCUCUGGAGAGUUCGACG